GGCCUACGGGACGCAGCAGUGGGGAAUAUUGCGCAAUGGGGGAAACCCUGAUGCAGCGACGCCGCGUGAGCGAAGAAGUAUUUCGGUAUGUAAAGCUCUAUCAGCAGGGAAGAAAAAUGACGGUACCUGAGUAAGAAGCACCGGCUAAAUACGUGCCAGCAGCCGCGGUAAUACGUAGGGGGCAAGCGUUAUCCGGAUUUACUGGGUGUAAAGGGAGCGUAGACGGCGAUGCAGGUCUGAAGUGAAAGGCGGGGGCCCAACCCCCGGACUGCUUUGGAAACUGUAUA
rnacentral:rRNA from 1 species